CAGUAGCCGCGGUAAUACGUAGGUGGCAAGCGUUGUCCGGAAUUAUUGGGCGUAAAGGGCCCGCAGGCGGUUUCUUAAGUCUGAUGUGAAAGCCCCCGGCUCAACCGGGGAGGGUCAUUGGAAACUGGGAAACUUGAGUGCAGAAGAGGAGAGUGGAAUUCCACGUGUAGCGGUGAAAUGCGUAGAGAUGUGGAGGAACACCAGUGGCGAAGGCGACUCUCUGGUCUGUAACUGACGCUGAGGAGCGAAAGCGUGGGGAGCGAACAGGAUUAGAUACCCCUGUAGUCCCUGUCUCUUAUAC
rnacentral:rRNA from 1 species